CUCAGCCAACACCCACACUUCUGUUCCCUCCUACUUCACUUUUUCUUUCUACAUCUUAUCUACACCCUUCAUCUUCUUCACAAUUCAAACCACAACAGACAAACACCUCAAAACUUUCCAUGUUCUUUGCUAUUGCUGUGCGAAAUUGUCAAAGGGUUUGUAGUUUCCAUCUUUAAACCAAUCAUGAACCUGAACUACAAUCCAAAAAAAAAACAUCUUUCAUCCUUUUCUUUUUUCGGAAGCUUCAAAGCAUGCUAGCAGCCUAGCAUCACGAAACGUAUUUUAGGAGAAACGUUAUAUACAUGACAUAUUGUUUUGUCUGAGAAUCCCACAACUCGUUUCCGUAUAACCCACAUACUCACCAGGAAGAUCAGACGUCGUCGGAGUUUCAUCAGAGACGACCGGAGUUCGAAGAUCUCGUCGGAAACAAGCCGAAGACCACCAACUGUCGUUUCAUGCACCCGUACCGUCGGAGAUGUAGAAGCUUCGCCGAGUUACGAGACGUUGUCGGAAAGAUCACCGGAGACCGCGGUUCAUUCCUUUUCGUUUCGGUUAGUCGCUCCUGUUCGUUCUCUUGGAAUUCCCAAUCUUACUCGUGCGAGAAAUCGCAAACGCAACCAAUGGAAUUAGUAAGUGGAUCUGGCGGGCGUUGGAAGUUUCAUGCUGCGUUGUGAAUAAAGAUGUCGUCCAUGGUUUUGAGGUCUGGGUUGAGUGUCUUUUUCCUGGACGAGACACGUCUACCAAACCUUGGUUUUAUUUAAUGUCUUUUGAUGAGUCCCUAGUGAACUCUUAAAACAAUUCGUAUGGUUUGUAAAACUUGUGUUU